ensembl:snRNA U6 U6 spliceosomal RNA
AUGCUCACUUCAGUAGCACAUGCACUAAGACUGGAACCAUACAGAGAAGACUGGCAUGGCUCCUGCACAAGGAUGGCUCAUAAACUUGUGAAGCGUUCCAUAUGUUU